UACAGAGGCCCCAAGCGUUACUGAGAAUCACUGGGUUUAAAGGGUGCGUAGGUGGCGCGUUAAGUCCGUUGUGAAAUCCCUGGGCUCAACCCAGGAAUUGCUUCGGAUACUGGCGUGCUUGAGGCUAGUAGGGGUCACUGGAACUGACGGUGGAGCGGUGAAAUGCGUAGAUAUCGUCAGGAACGCCAAUGGUGAAGACAGGUGACUGGGCUAGUUCUGACACCGAGGCACGAAAGCGUGGGGAGCGAACGGG
rnacentral:rRNA from 1 species